CCUUGGAACUGCAUUUGAUACUGGCAAACUAGAGUAUGGUAGAGGAAUGGGGAAUUUCUGGUGUAGCGGUGAAAUGCGUAGAGAUCAGAAGGAACACCAAUGGCGAAGGCAACAUUCUGGACCAAUACUGACACUGAGGGACGAAAGCGUGGGGAUCAAACAGGAUUAGAUACCCUGGUAGUCCACGCUGUAAACGAUGAGUACUAGCUGUUGGAUUCGGUGUAAAGGAUCUAGUGGCGUAGCUAACGCGUUAAGUACUCCGCCUGGGGACUACGGCCGCAAGGCUAAAACUCAAAGGAAUUGACGGGGACCCGCACAAGCGGUGGAGCAUGUGGUUUAAUUCGAUGCAACGCGAAGAACCUUACCUGGUCUUGACAUCCUGCGAACUUUCUAGAGAUAGAUUGGUGCCUUCGGGAACGCAGUGACAGGUGCUGCACGGCUGUCGUCAGCUCGUGUUGUGAAAUGUUGGGUUAAGUCCCGCAACGAGCGCAACCCCUAUUGAUAGUUACCAUCAUUAAGUUGGGUACUCUAUUGAGACUGCCGCUGACAAGGCGGAGGAAGGUGGGGACGACGUCAAGUCAUCAUGGCCCUUACGACCAGGGCUACACACGUGCUACAAUGGGUAUUACAGAGGGCAGCGAAGUAGCGAUAUGGAGCGAAACUCAGAAAGGUACUCUUAGUCCGGAUUGCAGUCUGCAACUCGACUGCAUGAAGUCGGAAUCGCUAGUAAUCGCAGGUCAGAAUACUGCGGUGAAUACGUUCCCGGGU
rnacentral:rRNA from 1 species